rnacentral:rRNA from 1 species
GUGCAGCAGUCGCGAAACCUCCGCAAUACACGAAAGUGUGACGGGGUUACCCAAAGUGUUCUAUUUAGAACUGUGGUAGGUGAGUAAUAUUCCCUACUAGAAAAGAGAGGGCAAGGCUGGUGCCAGCCGCCGCGGUAAUACCUGCAGCUCAAGUGGUGGCCGCUAUUAUUGGGCCUAAAACGUCCGUAGCCGGUUUAGUAAAUGCUUGGGUUAAUUGUGUAGCUUAACUAUACGAAUACCGGGUAGACUGCUAAACUUGGGACCGGGAGAGGCUAGAGGUACUCCUAGGGUAGAGGUGAAAUUCUGUAAUCCUAGGGGGACCACCAGUGGCGAAGGCGUCUAGCUAGAACGGGUUUGACGGUGAGGGACGAAGCCCUGGGGCGCAAACCGGAUUAGAUACCCGCGUAGUCC